rnacentral:rRNA from 1 species
AUUGAACGCUGGCGGCAGGCCUAACACAUGCAAGUCGAGCGGAAACGAGUUAUCUGAACCUUCGGGGAACGAUAACGGCGUCGAGCGGCGGACGGGUGAGUAAUGCCUAGGAAAUUGCCCUGAUGUGGGGGAUAACCAUUGGAAACGAUGGCUAAUACCGCAUGAUGCCUACGGGCCAAAGAGGGGGACCUUCGGGCCUCUCGCGUCAGGAUAUGCCUAGGUGGGAUUAGCUAGUUGGUGAGGUAAGGGCUCACCAAGGCGACGAUCCCUAGCUGGUCUGAGAGGAUGAUCAGCCACACUGGAACUGAGACACGGUCCAGACUCCUACGGGAGGCAGCAGUGGGGAAUAUUGCACAAUGGGCGCAAGCCUGAUGCAGCCAUGCCGCGUGUGUGAAGAAGGCCUUCGGGUUGUAAAGCACUUUCAGUCGUGAGGAAGGUAGUGUAGUUAAUAGCUGCAUUAUUUGACGUUAGCGACAGAAGAAGCACCGGCUAACUCCGUGCCAGCAGCCGCGGUAAUACGGAGGGUGCGAGCGUUAAUCGGAAUUACUGGGCGUAAGCGCAUGCAGGUGGUUUGUUAAGUCAGAUGUGAAAGCCCGGGGCUCAACCUCGGAAUUGCAUUUGAACUGGCAGACUAGAGUACUGUAGAGGGGGGAGAAUUUCAGGUGUACGUGAAAUGCUAAGUCUGAAGGAUACCGUGGCGAAGCGGCCCCCUGGACAGAUACUGACACUCAGAUGCGAAAGCGUGGGGAGCAAACAGGAUUAGAUACCCUGGUAGUCCACGCCGUAAACGAUGUCUACUUGGAGGUUGUGGCCUUGAGCCGUGGCUUUCGGAGCUAACGCGUUAAGUAGACCGCCUGGGGAGUACGGUCGCAAGAUUAAAACUCAAAUGAAUUGACGGGGGCCCGCACAAGCGGUGGAGCAUGUGGUUUAAUUCGAUGCAACGCGAAGAACCUUACCUACUCUUGACAUCCAGAGAACUUUCCAGAGAUGGAUUGGUGCCUUCGGGAACUCUGUGACAGGUGCUGCAUGGCUGUCGUCAGCUCGUGUUGUGAAAUGUUGGGUUAAGUCCCGCAACGAGCGCAACCCUUAUCCUUGUUUGCCAGCGAGUAAUGUCGGGAACUCCAGGGAGACUGCCGGUGAUAAACCGGAGGAAGGUGGGGACGACGUCAAGUCAUCAUGGCCCUUACGAGUAGGGCUACACACGUGCUACAAUGGCGCAUACAGAGGGCGGCCAACUUGCGAAAGUGAGCGAAUCCCAAAAAGUGCGUCGUAGUCCGGAUUGGAGUCUGCAACUCGACUCCAUGAAGUCGGAAUCGCUAGUAAUCGUGGAUCAGAAUGCCACGGUGAAUACGUUCCCGGGCCUUGUACACACCGCCCGUCACACCAUGGGAGUGGGCUGCAAAAGAAGUAGGUAGUUUAACCUUCGGGGGGACGCUUACCACUUUGUGGUUCAUGACUGGGGUGA